rnacentral:sRNA from 1 species
GACCACUCCGAAGGAGUUAAGGCCAUACGGACAGCCGGGUCCACUGCCGA